rnacentral:rRNA from 1 species
UAACGGCUCACCUAGGCGACGAUCCCUAGCUGGUCUGAGAGGAUGACCAGCCACACUGGAACUGAGACACGGUCCAGACUCCUACGGGAGGCAGCAUG